UACGUAGGCAGCGAGCGUUGUUCGGAGUUACUGGGCGUAAAGGGUGUGUAGGCGGUUCUCUAAGUUUGGGGUGAAAUCUCCCGGCUCAACCGGGAGGGUGCGCCGAAAACUGGGGGACUCGAGUGCGGGAUGGGAGAGUAGAAUUCCUGGUGUAGCGGUGAAAUGCGUAGAUAUUGGGAGGAACACCAGUGGCGAAGGCGGCUCACUGGACCGGUACUGACGCUGAUGCGCGAAAGCGUGGGGAGCAAACGGG
rnacentral:rRNA from 1 species